CGCGCGCGCCGGUGCGGGUGCGUGCGCGAGCGUGCGUGAGCGUGCGCGUCCCCGCCACCUCUGCCGGUGCUGUUCCCGCGCCCUCUGCCGCCGCCGCCGCCGCCGCCCCGGGAACCCAGGCUGAGGAGCGCCUCGGCCGCUGCCCAGCAGCGCGGCGGAGCGGGGAGCGGGCAGCGGAGCCGCGGAGUCGGCGGGCGGGCGGCCGACGGGCAGAUUAGCCUAACAUGGCAGACCAGAGACAGCGCUCACUCUCUACCUCGGGGGACUCACUAUACCACGUUCUUGGGCUGGACAAGAAUGCAACCUCAGAUGACAUCAAAAAGUCCUAUCGGAAACUUGCCUUGAAAUAUCACCCUGACAAGAACCCUGAUAACCCAGAGGCAGCAGACAAGUUUAAGGAGAUCAACAACGCCCACGCCAUCCUGACAGACGCCACAAAAAGAAACAUCUACGACAAGUACGGCUCCCUGGGGCUCUACGUGGCGGAGCAGUUUGGGGAGGAGAACGUGAACACCUACUUUGUGCUGUCCAGUUGGUGGGCCAAGGCCCUGUUUGUCUUCUGUGGCCUCCUCACGUGCUGCUACUGCUGCUGCUGCCUGUGCUGCUGCUUCAACUGCUGCUGCGGGAAGUGUAAGCCCAAAGCACCCGAGGGCGAGGAGACGGAGUUCUACGUGUCCCCCGAGGACCUGGAGGCACAACUGCAGUCGGACGAGAGGGGAGGGCACUGACACUGUGCCGCGAGUGUUUGUGUGGCAGCUGGGACUGUUGAGGUGUGAACAUGGACCCUGGAGAGGCCACAGACACGCCGAUCGUCAUACAGCCAGCGUCUGCCACCGAGACCACCCAGCUCACGGCCGACUCCCACCCCAGCUACCACACUGACGGGUUCAACUAAGUCUAGGAGAAGCCGUGGUCACAGGCGAUCAGCGCCUGGCCACCCCAACCUUAGAAUCAUGAACUGUAGUCACAGACAUGGGGAGGCUGCUGCCUGCCUGCCGCGGCUGCGCUGGGCCCCUCCCGCCACCUCCACGCCCGCCCAGCAUCGACCCUUGACCCACGAAGUGCGUAGCAUGCAGUAUUUAAAGCAGUGUAGCUACGGUCUUCUUCUGUUUUUCCUUUUUUAAUAGCAUGUAUGGGGUUAUGUUCCAUGUCUGUGUUGUGGAUGUGCGUGGCACGGCCGUGUCACCCGGACGGUGGAGCUGCCUGGGGGCUCUCGGUCAGGUCGGUCCGCUGAGGGUUGAUCGCAGCCGCCAGGUGCUGCCCGGCCAGGUGGGCAAGGAAAGGAAGGAGCUGCCCCCUCCUGCCCUGUGUUCUCAGCAGCUGGAGGCAGGAGCCACCUGGCGGGGCUGCGUCUCUGCGUCGGCCGCAGGGUCUGGUCUGCGCUCUGUGCUCCCCAGCCCCAAGGCCUCGCAAAGUUUUGAUGUCACCUGCCAGGGAAGGGCUGGGCCACGUCCUCCCGGGUACCACCAGCAUCCUCGUCCGUUCCACGUGUUUGUGUCGGGCACGGUUUACGUGGGAUCUCUUCGCCUUGUUGACAGGGCCUCGCGGUGGGAUUUUUCCUGUGGGUAAAUCUGUUGUGGAAGGAGUAGGCGGGGCCCUUCUGAGACUGAAGCCACGUUCUCUGCACGGUGUUUCUAGCCUGAGUCUCCUUGUCACAGGGACUGUGAGGCUCCUGUCCUUGGAGCUGUGUCCUUCGCCAGUGUGUGGAAGGUCGUUUGCGUCCCUGCCCCUUCCCAGGCAGCGAGCUGGCUUGUCAGGGCCAUGUGUCCCCUCCCUCUCCCUGGGUCAUCCUCCACAUUCCUUCAAGCCACCUGUCCUUUUUGUAAUAAAUCCUUUCUGGACCUUUAGAACCACAAAUGGUAGGACCAAUCUGAUCAGUCACAGUCAGAGGGACUAUGAGUUCUGGUGUGGGGCACGGCUGCCUGUACCCUGCCCUGGCGACUGUGUUGGCCAGAGCUCCCCGACGCCACUCGCCUUCGCCCGUCCCCGACGAUCAGGCGGGACUAGAGAUGCUGGGUCCCCGAAGGAUGGGCUGGCUGGACCAAAGGUCCCUCAGCUACGGGAGGGUUGGGCUCCAGAGAGGCCAGUAGCUAGGCCGAGGGGCUCGGAGCUGCCCCCGCCCUGGCCCCGGAGCAGAGUCCGGGGGCUGGUGUCUGCAGCACUUGCCGCUGGCUGCACCGAGUGUCUUCCGAACUUGCAGUGGAGAUGGAGGCAAGGACCAGGCUGUGCCUCUGCUGGCCUGGCUGGGCCAAACCAGAGAGUGGUCCCGAAGCCCACUCCUCCCGCCCACCUGCUGGCUCCGCCCCCCAGGACUGUGAGAGGACUGUCAGGAAGGUGCUGCCCGAGGGGGGGCCCAGUUGGCCCCCUGUGGACCCGACGUGGGCCCUGAGCUGGCUGCCAGCACCAGGUCCUGGGGCAGCUUGUUCCAUUUUGCUUUGCUUUUUACUCAUUAAAAUGAUCAUGAAGACUUUCGGUGAGAGGGAAGAUAUGCACUGCACUACGUUAUUAAGUUAGAAAUAAUUUGUUAAAAAUCAAACCUCUCAUUGUUUUACCCAUCCUGGAGCAAGGGAGGAGGCGAGAUAACAGGGAACCUCCUCUGCUGACCCCAGAGGAUUCCAUCUGCGGUCCUGCCGCAGCCUUGGUGAUUGUUCCAGAGACAGCUUAGGAAGUGAGUUGCUUUCCCCGGAAUGGCCGAGAGCCAGGCUCCACCUGGCCUUCGGGGGUCUGCACGCAGCUCUGUGGCUGGAGCACGCCCAGGCCCUUUCACUGUCUAGUGGGCCCCGUGCCAGGUGGCCUCCCAGUUCCAGAACCCACUGACUGCUCCUCUGAGUCGCACAGCUCCCCGGCAGCGGGUAUAGCAGAAAAGAGCAGCAGGUCUGGAAGUUUUCGAAAGCCAGGCCCCUGUGUAAUUUGUGAAAACUAAAUAUAAAUCAAGGAUGGCCGUGACAACAGUUCUCAUGGUGAUGACCGUUACCACAGUGGAAUCCAGACAGCCAGGGCCUGGGGCUCUUCCCACCAACUGACCCUGAGGCAAAGCCCCUUUUCCAUGUUUCACUCCAUCGGUUAUAAGGCUUUGUGUUUUGAUUCAAGGAAACAGAUCUCCCCGGUUUCAUUUCCCUUUCUCUUGAGUGGACUGUUUGUUUCCCUUUUAAUAAACAGAGCUGGUGUGUCUGAGGGGCAGCUUGAGCCCCUUCCUGUUGACCUGCUACCUGGCCAGGACGCCCUGCAGCGCCCAGCACCUCUGCCUGAUCAUGGUCGGGACAGGAGCACCCCAGCCCCACUCUGGGCUGCGGGUGGCGUGGCCGGCGUGUUGCCAGGGGAGUGUUGGGGUGGGUGUGUGCUGAAGACCCUCCAGUUGUGAGGAGCGGUCCCUCCACGGUAGCUGCUGAUGUGUAGGUUUCCGUUCCCACUCAGUGACGUGGGCUUUUCUUGUCUUCCUUUUCGCUUUAUUUCUAAAUUGCUUUAGAUAUUACUGCUUAAUGUUUGUGAACUUCCCUAGUUCUCUGAUGUUCAGUCAAUGCAGCCAACACCCAAUGGGGACCUUUUAGAGAAAAAACCCAAGUGUGCGUGGUUGGCAGGAGGCUUUGUCUCCUUGUUAUCAGUUGCUGGACUUGGCCCAAGGGUCCAGUCCAGGAAAGGGCCCAUAGAGCAGUCAGGACUGUCCUCAGAGGUUCUGACCAGUAGCAGUGCCGUUGUCCUGCGGGGCCCGUGGCAGUCUGUUCCGGGUGAGCCUCGUGCUGGGACUUCUCUCCAUGCAGCUGGUGGUCUGGGAGGUGCCCGCUUCCCCGCACCAGACGAGGUUGGCGCUAGCGGGUAGAGCACAGGGUGGGUCCUGUCCAUCCUCUCCUGGCUCUGGGUGCACCUGCUGCAGGGGGGCUCCUAAGGGUAUAAAAAGCGACUGAUCUCAUUCCUGUCCCCGUGUUCUGAGCUGUGCGCCGUGUGGCACAGGACUGACCUGUUGUUUUGGUUGUGAGUCAUCCUCCUGUGGAAUUGGCAAAAGCUACUUUAUUACUGUCCGUACAAGCACGGUUUGCGUUGUCACAUACUGUGAGUGUGGGCUGUGGUAUGUGUCCGUGUGUGUACAUAUGUGUAUAUGUAUAUAACACGCAGCAGGUGUGUCAUGCUGCUGUCUGGCAGUGAAGCAACAAGUACAAUAAAAGUUGGCUCUAAAAUGGCCUCUGGUUUCUUGGCAAGUUGGACAGGGACUGGGUCUCCCCGCGGCAGGCACACAGAAGGAAACGCCUCAGCCGUGGUGUGCAGGGAGCGGUGAGGGUGACUGUCACGAACACAUGCCCAUCCCUGGGGGCUGUCAUCCUCACCUGGUCCACAGGUGUGUGUCCCCCUGUGAAUCUAAGUGGUGACUGGAAACCCUUCCCUCCCUGGAGGCAUCAAACCAGUUUUCCAAGCAGCAGAUACAGUGGGGGGAAGCUGCCUGUAGGGCAGGCUGGGAAGGCCCCGCCCUGGCCCCAGGCCCACCCUGGGAGGGACGGCAGGGGGUCGGAGGCCACCACUGUCCUCCAGGGAAGGGGUCAGGGCUCCUACAGGCAGCACCCGUGGGUAGAUUUUGUUUUCCUGGAAAAUGGGGUUAAUGUUUCAAGCCAAAUGAGGGGAGGAAGUUUACACUGAAACAUAACAUACCUUGUUUUUAAAAUUAAAUACAGAUGCAUGGAAGCCAAUUGUCCAUGCACUGGUUUUGUCCUCUUACUGGAAUGGACCGUGCUGGGUGCAGGCUGUCAGAGCUCCUGGCCAAUCCUGGCUCCCACAUGCACAUCUAAGGGCCAGGCUGGUGUCGCAUGGUGAUCGCUGUCUUGUGUGUCUGAAUGUUGACCUAAAAUAAAGAUAUCUGUUGUAAAAAUAAAUGUUUUCACUGCA